rnacentral:tRNA from 1 species
GGCUGGUGGUUGGUCUAGUGGUAAUGACGUUUGCCGCAUAAGCUGAAGACCCGGGUUCGAUUCCCGGCUCGGCCA